UACGAAGGGGGCUAGCGUUGUUCGGAAUCACUGGGCGUAAAGGGCGCGUAGGCGGCUUUAUAAGUCGGGGGUGAAAGCCUGUGGCUCAACCACAGAAUUGCCUUCGAUACUGUAGAGCUUGAGACCGGAAGAGGUAAGUGGAACUGCGAGUGUAGAGGUGAAAUUCGUAGAUAUUCUCAAGAACACCAGUGGCGAAGGCGGCUUACUGGUCCGGUUCUGACGCUGAGGCGCGAAAGCGUGGGGAGCAAACAGG
rnacentral:rRNA from 1 species